UGCUGCCACCUUGAACAAGUCUCUUGACAAGUACUUCCCAUUAGCUCCAAUGUCAAGGUCAUAGCAGAACCAGGGCGGUACUUUGCAUCGUCGGCGUUCACCUUAGCGACCAGUGUGAUCGGAAAAGGAAAUGCCUUGGUAAAACAAAAAAGAUCGCAAGAACUCAGGUACAGAGAACAAAUGUAGAGUCGGAGAUGUCCAGCGACAACAAACCAGCGUUCAUGUACUACAUCACAGACGGUGUUUCUUUGAUCAUUCAACGUCAUCAUCUUCGAAGGCAUGCAUUAUACCUAAACUAGUAAAGGUGCCCUUCUAAAGUGACGUGACCUUCAAUUCCUACGCUGUGGGUCCGACAUGUGACAGCCUUGACUGUGUUAGGGAAGGAGUUGUCUCUCCCUGAACUGCAUAUCGGGGACUGGCUGGUACAUGGAGGAACAUGGCGCCUACACCAGUAUAUAAUAGCAUCACGUUUUAACGGAAUGCCAAUACCUAGAUGUCAUUAUAUAUAUCCGAGGAGGAGAAGGCCU